rnacentral:rRNA from 1 species
AACGCUAGCUACAGGCUUAACACAUGCAAGUCGCGGGGUAACAUUUGACAGAGCUUGCUCAGUCAAGAUGACGACCGGCGCACGGGUGAGUAACGCGUAUCCAACCUGGCCCAUACCACGGGACAGCCCGUCGAAAGGCGGAUUAAUACCGUAUGCAGUCAUAGACAAGCAUUUGAAUAUGACGAAAGGAUUCGGCGGUAUGGGAUGGGGAUGCGUCUGAUUAGCUUGUUGGCGGGGUAACGGCCCACCAAGGCGACGAUCAGUAGGGGUUCUGAGAGGAAGGUCCCCCACAUUGGAACUGAGACACGGUCCAAACUCCUACGGGAGGCAGCAGUGAGGAAUAUUGGUCAAUGGGCGAGAGCCUGAACCAGCCAAGUAGCGUGUGGGACGAAUGCCCUAUGGGUUGUAAACCACUUUUGCAGGAGGGUAAAAUGCUUCACGUGUGGAGUAUUGCAAGUAUCCUGCGAAUAAGGACCGGCUAAUUCCGUGCCAGCAGCCGCGGUAAUACGGAAGGUCCGGGCGUUAUCCGGAUUUAUUGGGUUUAAAGGGAGCGUAGGCGGGGAGUCAAGUCAGUUGUGAAAAGCCGCGGCCCAACCGUGGUCGUGCAGUUGAAACUGGUUCUCUUGAGUGCGCACGAGGACGGUGGAAUUCGUGGUGUAGCGGUGAAAUGCUUAGAUAUCACGAAGAACUCCGAUUG